AUGAGUAUAUGUUAUCAUUCCCACUUCACAGGCAGAAAACGAAAUCCAGAAGUUGCCCAAGAGCACACAGCUGCUAUGCAGUGGCACAGCCCAGGUCCUUCUGACCACCUCCAGUGGCAACAAAUGACUUCUGCAAAUUACAUCUGCCUGCCCACAGGAUGCCCAAUCUCUGGCUUGUCAGCCUCCAACCCUGGGACAACUCAAGGGCUUCAUUUCCCUGUCUCUGCCACUCAGAGGAGAGAAGCUCAGACAAUUCUACAGAGUAGGUUCUCCUGAAUAUUUCCCUGCUCAACUGGUGCUCUUGGCAUUGUGAAUAAACAGAGCUGAUGAUAACA
rnacentral:lncRNA from 1 species